GACGAACGCUGGCGGCGUGCUUAACACAUGCAAGUCGAACGGAAAGGCCCUGCUUUUGUGGGGUGCUCGAGUGGCGAACGGGUGAGUAACACGUGAGUAACCUGCCCUUGACUUUGGGAUAACUUCAGGAAACUGGGGCUAAUACCGGAUAGGAGCUCCCGCUGCAUGGUGGGGGUUGGAAAGUUUCGGCGGUUGGGGAUGGACGCGCGGCUUAUCAGCUUGUUGGUUGGGUAGUGGCUUACCAAGGCUUUGACGGGUAGCCGGCCUGUGAGGGUGACCGGCCACAUUGGGCCUGCGAUACGGCCCAGACUGCUACGGGAGGCAGAAGUGGGGAAUAUUGCACAAUGGGCGGAAGCCUGAUGCAGCAACGCCGCGUGCGGGAUGACGGCCUUCGGGUUGUAAACAGCUUUCGCCUGUGACGAAGCGUUAGUGACGGUAAUGGGUAAAGAAGCACCGGCUAACUACGUG
rnacentral:rRNA from 1 species